UACGAAGGGGGGCUAGCGUUGCUCGGAAUCACUGGGCGUAAAGGGCGCGUAGGCGGCGUUUUAAGUCGGGGGUGAAAGCCUGUGGCUCAACCACAGAAUUGCCUUCGAUACUGGGACGCUUGAGUGUGGUAGAGGUUGGUGGAACUGCGAGUGUAGAGGUGAAAUUCGUAGAUAUUCGCAAGAACACCAGUGGCGAAGGCGGCUCACUGGACCACAACUGACGCUGAGGUGCGAAAGCGUGGGGAGCAAACAGG
rnacentral:rRNA from 1 species